rnacentral:misc_RNA from 1 species
UCCUAAAGAGAGCCUAGCACCAAUGCAUACCAUUCUCAUCCAAUAGUACCGAAGUCUCUGGACAUGCUUAUGGAUGAACAAUGAGUCAAUGUGCUUAACUGCUUGCACUAGCUGGAAUGCUAGUGUAAACGGUUACCAAAUGCUUUUUUUUUCCCAAGUAAACGGUUACUAAAUGCUUUUCUUUUCAUUUUUAUCAAUUAUUAAUUAUGCUAUUGACAUGCAAAUUAUAUACUUACGUGAAUUUAUAAUACUUUAAAACUGUUAUAUUCACCUUCUUUAAAUGCACAUUU